UUAGUUGCUUGGUAUCAGUAGUAACUAGUAGAAUGAUAUUCAUCAGUACAAAGUUCUUCAGGUAAAAUAGGAUAAACAAGAACACAAUUUCUAAUGAAAAACAAACCAUUAGUCAGCAUAAAGCAUCAAGAAGAGGCACAAAGGAACUUUCUUUUUCUUUUGCAGAUCAGCUUUUAGUCUUCCCUGUUUAGAAUGCAGGGUGGUAACAAAGGCAAUGUCUACACUGGCAAUUGAACGACAAAACUUUCUUCUUUCAGAGGUGUUAACCCUUCCCUCCCUCCCCCCACCAAGACAAAAGUUUUGCCACAACAAGUGCCAGUGUGUCGGCGUUCUCCUGCCGACAAUGCAAAUGCCUUUCGUUGGGGGUAGAAGGUUUUUGUUGUCAGGAGAGCCAACAAACCGUGGCUACGCUGCACGACUUUUAGCGGCACGGCUGUGGCGACUCAGCCAUGUCACUAAAGGCUAUGUAGUGUAUUGCUGGGAUUAUCUCGAAGAGCAAGGGUAAAUAUUAGAAAUAUCAGUGCAAGGAGCCAGUUUUCCUGUCAAAAACUUAUUUCUAAAUAUCUCUCUACUAUUUGAACUCUACUUUUACUUUAGUUAGUCAAUACAAGUGAAUGCUUGGUAGACGACUAGGGUAGACUAUCAGAAUGCACUUCACCCUAACUUUGGAACCUCACAGGUCAUUGGCAGGGCAGAAAUUAUUCUCUAACAUUACAAAAUCAUUCUUCCUCUUUGUUUUUCCCUUUCAUUUCUCUUUUUCUUUGCAGGAUUAUUAGUGGUUUACACAUGGAAGGGCUGCAAAGGGAAACGAUCUCACUGAUUUUACAAGUCACUUGUUCUUACGCCUGGGCACUGUGGGGAAAUGAGUUGUCACACCAAAGGAAUGGACUAGCAGUUGUUUUGAAGAAAUCCAGGGCUGAGCAAUAAGGGAGAGCAUUACAUACGUUCUUGGGGAUAUAGUUUUUCUGCUGGAAAAAGAAAUCUUAAAAAUAAACGUAAAGAAGUUGGCAAUCCACUUGUGUAUCUGAGGUAUUAAUUGACAGCCGUUUUCUCUGUAAAUUUCACUUCCAGUUUGCAAAAGUUUAUUCUGGCCUCAUUUAUCUCAGUAAAAUGCCACACUAUUUUCUCUCACAACUUGUAAGCAAGGCUACUCAUGUCUUAAAGAUGACCUAAGGAUUUUAAAAAAUUGGUCUCUUUUGGACUUCUGUAGUAUGUAUAAAGUAUGCCUGAAAGGGGUUUUUAAAAGACAUUUUUUGUUGCUUCAUAUCUGAGAUAUGAGGACUGUAAACUUAUCUUCACAUGUUUUGUUGGAUUGGUUGUAUAUAUCUGAGGAUGUAUAGCUCUUGUCUUAAUUGAAGGGGCAGAGAUGCUGAAUCUUUAACAAAAGUUUCCUGUCUCCAAAAUAAUUGCACAUUGGAGGUUACAAAAGUUAACUAAUAGUCUGAUUAAAAAUCUCUUUGGUUCUUAGGCUGUCUCUACACUUUAUGAUAAAUGUGGGUUUGAACAAUGGCUAACAGAAGAUCCUAGUGUAGACAAGGCAAGCUGUAGUGUUAAUACAUAUUAGCUGGUUAAGUUAGGGUGACCAGACCUCCCAUUUUUAAAGGGACAGUGCUGUAUUUAAGCCCUCCUGCAGGUGUCCUGAUUUUUUCUUAAAAAUGGGCAAUGUGCCGUAUCUUCUGUCUCUCCCCCGCCCCCCCCCCCAUCAGUACUGGCGGGUCCUGCUGCUGGCUGGAUCCUGGCUCACCAGCCACCCGCCCACCAGUGGUGGUGGUGGGGCGGGGUCCAGUGGGCAACGAUGUGGGUAAGUGUGCAAGGCUGGUGGCAAGAUGAAGAUGCGGGGCUGGCGGCUUCCCCUGCUGCUCCAUCAGCGCAGCCCCCACUGCAUGCCAGCUCUUGGCCAGCAGGACCUCGCCCCCACAUCCUGUUUCCUGCCGGCACUGGCUGCA